rnacentral:rRNA from 1 species
AGUGAACGCUGGCGGUAGGCCUAACACAUGCAAGUCGAACGGCAGCACAGUAAGAGCUUGCUCUUACGGGUGGCGAGUGGCGGACGGGUGAGGAAUACAUCGGAAUCUACUUUUUCGUGGGGGAUAACGUAGGGAAACUUACGCUAAUACCGCAUACGACCUACGGGUGAAAGCAGUGGAUCUUCGGACCUUGCGCGAUUGAAUGAGCCGAUGUCGGAUUAGCUAGUUGGCGGGGUAAAGGCCCACCAAGGCGACGAUCCGUAGCUGGUCUGAGAGGAUGAUCAGCCACACUGGAACUGAGACACGGUCCAGACUCCUACGGGAGGCAGCAGUGGGGAAUAUUGGACAAUGGGCGCAAGCCUGAUCCAGCCAUACCGCGUUGGUGAAGAAGGCCUUCGGGUUGUAAAGCCCUUUUGUUGGGAAAGAAAAGCAGCAGGUUAAUACCCCGCUGUUCUGACGGUACCCAAAGAAUAAGCACCGGCUAACUUCGU